UACGUAGGUGGCAAGCGUUGUCCGGAAUCAUUGGGCGUAAAGAGCGCGUAGGUGGCUUGUCAGGUCUGAUGUGAAAACCUGGGGCUCAACUCCAGGCCUGCAUCAGAAACCGGCUUGCUAGAGUCUGGGAGAGGAGAGUGGAAUUCCUGGUGUAGCGGUGAAAUGCGUAGAUAUCAGGAGGAACACCGGUAGCGAAGGCGGCUCUCUGGAACAGUACUGACGCUGAGGCGCGAAAGCUAGGGGAGCGAACAGG
rnacentral:rRNA from 1 species